UCCUCUGGUGGUCCAGUGGGUAAGACUCUGCACUCCCAAUGCAGGGGGCCCAGGUUCAAUCCCUGGUCGGGGAA